rnacentral:rRNA from 1 species
UACGUAUGGAGCAAGCGUUAUCCGGAUUUACUGGGUGUAAAGGGAGCGCAGGCGGCUUUGCAAGUCUGAUGUGAAAGGCCGGGGCUCAACCCCGGGACUGCAUUGGAAACUGUAAAGCUAGAGUGCCGGAGAGGUAAGCGGAAUUCCUAGUGUAGCGGUGAGAUGCGUAGAUAUUAGGAGGAACACCAGUGGCGAAGGCGGCUUACUGGACGGCAACUGACGCUGAGGCUCGAAAGCGUGGGGAGCAAACAGG